rnacentral:rRNA from 1 species
UCGAGCGGUAGCACAGAGAGCUUGCUCUCGGGUGACGAGCGGCGGACGGGUGAGUAAUGUCUGGGAAACUGCCUGAUGGAGGGGGAUAACUACUGGAAACGGUAGCUAAUACCGCAUAACGUCGCAAGACCAAAGUGGGGGACCUUCGGGCCUCAUGCCAUCAGAUGUGCCCAGAUGGGAUUAGCUAGUAGGUGGGGUAACGGCUCACCUAGGCGACGAUCCCUAGCUGGUCUGAGAGGAUGACCAGCCACACUGGAACUGAGACACGGUCCAGACUCCUACGGGAGGCAGCAGUGGGGAAUAUUGCACAAUGGGCGCAAGCCUGAUGCAGCCAUGCCGCGUGUGUGAAGAAGGCCUUCGGGUUGUAAAGCACUUUCAGCGGGGAGGAAGGCGGUAAGGUUAAUAACCUUGGCGAUUGACGUUACCCGCAGAAGAAGCACCGGCUAACUCCGUGCCAGCAGCCGCGGUAAUACGGAGGGUGCAAGCGUUAAUCGGAAUUACUGGGCGUAAAGCGCACGCAGGCGGUCUGUCAAGUCGGAUGUGAAAUCCCCGGGCUCAACCUGGGAACUGCAUUCGAAACUGGCAGGCUAGAGUCUUGUAGAGGGGGGUAGAAUUCCAGGUGUAGCGGUGAAAUGCGUAGAGAUCUGGAGGAAUACCGGUGGCGAAGGCGGCCCCCUGGACAAAGACUGACGCUCAGGUGCGAAAGCGUGGGGAGCAAACAGGAUUAGAUACCCUGGUAGUCCACGCCGUAAACGAUGUCGAUUUGGAGGUUGUGCCCUUGAGGCGUGGCUUCCGGAGCUAACGCGUUAAAUCGACCGCCUGGGGAGUACGGCCGCAAGGUUAAAACUCAAAUGAAUUGACGGGGGCCCGCACAAGCGGUGGAGCAUGUGGUUUAAUUCGAUGCAACGCGAAGAACCUUACCUGGUCUUGACAUCCACAGAACUUUCCAGAGAUGGAUUGGUGCCUUCGGGAACUGUGAGACAGGUGCUGCAUGGCUGUCGUCAGCUCGUGUUGUGAAAUGUUGGGUUAAGUCCCGCAACGAGCGCAACCCUUAUCCUUUGUUGCCAGCGGUUCGGCCGGGAACUCAAAGGAGACUGCCAGUGAUAAACUGGAGGAAGGUGGGGAUGACGUCAAGUCAUCAUGGCCCUUACGACCAGGGCUACACACGUGCUACAAUGGCAUAUACAAAGAGAAGCGACCUCGCGAGAGCAAGCGGACCUCAUAAAGUAUGUCGUAGUCCGGAUUGGAGUCUGCAACUCGACUCCAUGAAGUCGGAAUCGCUAGUAAUCGUAGAUCAGAAUGCUACGGUGAAUACGUUCCCGGGCCUUGUACACACCGCCCGUCACACCAUGGGAGUGGGUUGCAAAAGAAGUAGGUAGCUUA